rnacentral:SRP_RNA from 2 species
GGGCAAGUCUUAUACGACCAGCUCCUGACAAAUCCUCCAGGGUCGGAAGGCAGCAAAGGUAGUUGGUUGAGCGGUGCGCUGUAAGUAACUUGCCUUUU